rnacentral:rRNA from 1 species
UACGUAGGGUGCAAGCGUUGUCCGGAAUUAUUGGGCGUAAAGAGCUCGUAGGCGGUUUGUUGCGUCGGCUGUGAAAUCCCGAGGCUCAACCUCGGGUCUGCAGUCGAUACGAGCAAACUAGAGUGUUGCAGGGGAGACUGGAAUUCCUGGUGUAGCGGUGAAAUGCGCAGAUAUCAGGAGGAACACCGGUGGCGAAGGCGGGUCUCUGGGCAACAACUGACGCUGAGAGACGAAAGCGAGGGGAGCAAAUGGG